CCUUUCGGGGCCUCUUCCGGGUCAGGAAUAGGCCCAGGUUGGGUUUAGCUAGUUGGUGACGUAAGGGUUCACCCAGGCGGACGAUCCCUAGGUGGUUUGAGAGGAUGUCCAGCCACACCGGAACUGAGACACGGUCCAGACUCCUACGGGAGGCAGCAGUGGGGAAUAUUGCACAAUGGGCGCAAGCCUGAUGCAGCCAUGCCGGGGUGUGUGAAGAAGGCCUUUCGGGUUGUAAAGCACUUUCAGUCGUGAGGAAGGUAGUGUGUUUAAUAGAUGCAUUAUUUGACGUUAGCGACAGAAGAAGCACCGGCUAACUCCGUGCCAGCAGCCGCGGUAAUACGGAGGGUGCGAGCGUUAAUCGGAAUUACUGGGCGUAAAGCGCAUGCAGGUGGUGUGUUAAGUCAGAUGUGAAAGCCCGGGGCUCAACCUCGGAAUUGCAUUUGAAACUGGCAGACUAGAGUACUGUAGAGGGGGGUAGAAUUUCAGGUGUAGCGGUGAAAUGCGUAGAGAUCUGAAGGAAUACCGGUGGCGAAGGCGGCCCCCUGGACAGAUACUGACACUCAGAUGCGAAAGCGUGGGGAGCAAACAGGAUUAGAUACCCUGGUAGUCCACGCCGUAAACGAUGUCUACUUGGAGGUUGUGGCCUUGAGCCGUGGCUUUCGGAGCUAACGCGUUAAGUAGACCGCCUGGGGAGUACGGUCGCAAGAUUAAAACUCAAAUGAAUUGACGGGGGCCCGCACAAGCGGUGGAGCAUGUGGUUUAAUUCGAUGCAACGCGAAGAACCUUACCUACUCUUGACAUCCAGAGAACUUUCCAGAGAUGGAUUGGUGCCUUCGGGAACUCUGAGACAGGUGCUGCAUGGCUGUCGUCAGCUCGUGUUGUGAAAUGUUGGGUUAAGUCCCGCAACGAGCGCAACCCUUAUCCUUGUUUGCCAGCGAGUCAUGUCGGGAACUCCAGGGAGACUGCCGGUGAUAAACCGGAGGAAGGUGGGGACGACGUCAAGUCAUCAUGGCCCUUACGAGUAGGGCUACACACGUGCUACAAUGGCGCAUACAGAGGGCGGCCAACUUGCGAAAGUGAGCGAAUCCCAAAAAGUGCGUCGUAGUCCGGAUUGGAGUCUGCAACUCGACUCCAU
rnacentral:rRNA from 1 species